rnacentral:tRNA from 1 species
GGCUCUGUGGUGAAAUGGAUAGUGCAUUGGACUUCUAGGCUGGGAGCUGAGCCAUUCAAAGGUUGUGGGUUUGAGUCCCACCAGAGUCG